AAUCGCAAAUAAAAAAUUUUUCAUACACGGAAAAAAAAAUAUUGUUAAAAUGACUAUCCAACGUAUUCUCAAAUGACGUUUCUUUAAAAUAACGAUCCGG